GAUGGCAUUCAUUGUGGUCAUUAUGUUUGCUGCUUCAUUGAGGACAUAUAUCUUGGCUUUUGGUGAUACCAGUAUUCCUGUUUAUUUUGUUCAUAGUCAGCCACUCAAAUUUUAUCCUCCAAUGAAGAUGGAGAAUUUUAGAUUCAAUUGGGGAGGAUAUUUGUAUAACCGGUUCCUCAAGGACAAGAUGUCAAGUUGAAGGACAACAUUUAGGAUAUUUUGGCUUUUGGUGAUACCAGUAUUCCUGUUUAUUUUGUUCAUAGUCAGCCACUCAAAUUUUAUCCUCCAAUGAAGAUGGAGAAUUUUAGAUUCAAUUGGGGAGGAUAUUUGUAUAA